GACGAACCGUGCGAACGUUGUUCGGAAUCACUGGGCUUAAAGGGCGCGUAGGCGGCUCGCGAGGUCGGGGGUGAAAUCCCGCAGCUUAACUGCGGAAGGGCCUCCGAUACCGGCGGGCUGGAGGAAGGGAGGGGUGCGCGGAACUUCUGGUGGAGCGGUAAAAUGCGUUGAUAUCAGAAGGAACGCCGGCGGCGAAAGCGGCGCACUGGACCUUUUCUGACGCUGAGGCGCGAAAGCUAGGGGAGCAAACGGG
rnacentral:rRNA from 1 species